CAGCAUGUUUCCAAGGGCUGUGGCUGGCUGUGGCCAUGGGAUCUCCAACUGCAUGCGAGAGCAACCUGGAGAGACUUUGACAGCUCAGGUCAGCACCGUACCUGCAGCUGCCACUCAACUUUCCGAUAAUU
rnacentral:snoRNA from 14 species